rnacentral:rRNA from 1 species
AUUGAACGCUGGCGGCAGGCCUAACACAUGCAAGUCGAACGAGUGGCGGACGGGUGAGUAAUGUCUGGGAAACUGCCUGAUGGAGGGGGAUAGCUACUGGAAACGGUAGCUAAUACCGCAUACCAUCGGAUGUGCCCAGAUGGGAUUAGCUAGUAGGGGGGGUAAAGGCUCACCUAGGCGACGAUCCCUAGCUGGUCUGAGAGGAUGACCAGCCAAACGAGAACUGAGACACGGGGCAGACUUCUACGGGAGGCAGCAGUGGGGAAUAUUGCACAAUGGGCGCAAGCCUGAUGCAGCAAUGCCGCGUGUAUGAAGAAGGCCUUCGGGUUGUAAAGUACUGUCAGCGGGGAGGCGUUACCCGCAGAAGAAGCACCGGCUAACUCCGUGCCAGCCGCCGCGGUAAUAC